CAGCAGCCGCGGUAAUACGUAGGGUGCAAGCGUUAAUCGGAAUUACUGGGCGUAAAACGUGCGCAGGCGGUUUGUUAAGACAGAUGUGAAAUCCCCGGGCUCAACCUGGGAACUGCAUUUGUGACUGGCAAGCUAGAGUGUGGCAGAGGGGGGUGGAAUUCCGCGUGUAGCAGUGAAAUGCGUAGAUAUGCGGAGGAACACCGAUGGCGAAGGCAGCCCCCUGGGCCAACACUGACGCUCAUGCACGAAAGCGUGGGGAGCAAACAGGAUUAGAUACCCCGGUAGUCCCUGUCUCUUAUAA
rnacentral:rRNA from 1 species